rnacentral:rRNA from 1 species
AGGUAUCAGAAGUGCGAAUGCUGACAUAAGUAACGAUAAAGCGGGUGAAAAGCCCGCUCGCCGGAAGACCAAGGGUUCCUGUCCAACGUUAAUCGGGGCAGGGUGAGUCGACCCCUAAGGCGAGGCCGAAAGGCGUAGUCGAUGGGAAACGGGUUAAUAUUCCCGUACUUGGUGUUACUGCGAAGGGGGGACGGAGAAGGCUAUGUUGGCCGGGCGACGGUUGUCCCGGUUUAAGCGUGUAGGUGUGUGUUCCAGGUAAAUCCGGUUCACUUUAACACUGAGGCGUGACGACGAGGCACUACGGUGCUGAAGCAACAAAUGCCCUGCUUCCAGGAAAAGCCUCUAAGCAUCAGGUAACAUCAAAUCGUACCCCAAACCGACACAGGUGGUCAGGUAGAGAAUACCAAGGCGCUUGAGAGAACUCGGGUGAAGGAACUAGGCAAAAUGGUGCCGUAACUUCGGGAGAAGGCACGCUGACACGUAGGUGAAGUGAUUUACUCAUGGAGCUGAAGUCAGUCGAAGAUACCAGCUGGCUGCAACUGUUUAUUAAAAACACAGCACUGUGCAAACACGAAAGUGGACGUAUACGGUGUGACGCCUGCCCGGUGCCGGAAGGUUAAUUGAUGGGGUCAGCGCAAGCGAAGCUCCUGAUCGAAGCCCCGGUAAACGGCGGCCGUAACUAUAACGGUCCUAAGGUAGCGAAAUUCCUUGUCGGGUAAGUUCCGACCUGCACGAAUGGCGUAAUGAUGGCCAGGCUGUCUCCACCCGAGACUCAGUGAAAUUGAACUCGCUGUGAAGAUGCAGUGUACCCGCGGCAAGACGGAAAGACCCCGUGAACCUUUACUAUAGCUUGACACUGAACAUUGAGCCUUGAUGUGUAGGAUAGGUGGGAGGCUUUGAAGUGUGGACGCCAGUCUGCAUGGAGCCGACCUUGAAAUACCACCCUUUAAUGUUUGAUGUUCUAACGUGGACCCGUUACCCGGGUUGCGGACAGUGUCUGGUGGGUAGUUUGACUGGGGCGGUCUCCUCCUAAAGAGUAACGGAGGAGCACGAAGGUUGGCUAAUCCUGGUCGGACAUCAGGAGGUUAGUGCAAUGGCAUAAGCCAGCUUGACUGCGAGCGUGACGGCGCGAGCAGGUGCGAAAGCAGGUCAUAGUGAUCCGGUGGUUCUGAAUGGAAGGGCCAUCGCUCAACGGAUAAAAGGUACUCCGGGGAUAACAGGCUGAUACCGCCCAAGAGUUCAUAUCGACGGCGGUGUUUGGCACCUCGAUGUCGGCUCAUCACAUCCUGGGGCUGAAGUAGGUCCCAAGGGUAUGGCUGUUCGCCAUUUAAAGUGGUACGCGAGCUGGGUUUAGAACGUCGUGAGACAGUUCGGUCCCUAUCUGCCGUGGGCGCUGGAGAACUGAGGGGGGCUGCUCCUAGUACGAGAGGACCGGAGUGGACGCAUCACUGGUGUUCGGGUUGUCAUGCCAAUGGCACUGCCCGGUAGCUAAAUGCGGAAGAGAUAAGUGCUGAAAGCAUCUAAGCACGAAACUUGCCCCGA